rnacentral:ncRNA from 2 species
GCCGCACCUCUUCCACGCGGUACCUUCUCGUCGAUAUCGACGACGGUUCGGUGGAAGCCGGUGGGAUUCCGGCACGGUCGCGCCACUGUAUGCCGGGAACGCCCUUCGGGUGCGGGCCGGGUGAGUCAGACCCGCCCCGUCGUCCUGUGCACC